AGGAGGAAGAACCCCAGUGGGGGGUGGGCCGCUCUGGAGUCCUGGAUUCAGCCCCCCGCAGUAUCUACGGAGCUCUCCGUCUGCAGGGGCCUGGAUGCUCUGGGGGCGG
rnacentral:pre_miRNA from 1 species